CCCCAAGCCCAAACAACGCGAGGCCUUGACAGGCCAGAAGACGAUGGCGGUAGGGGAGAUCACGCGAGAGCAUGGCCUCCACCUCUCCUCCCCACCGCCAUCUCCACGUUCUCGCACCGGCGCUGGGGUGCAGGCUUUCAGUGGUCUCAGGGCUACGGCUUGUCGGUGCCUCGCCGCACAGUCCCCUUUGCAUUGAAGGACACGGUCUUACGGUGUAGGAGCAUUUUUGAGGUGCAUUCCUGGAUUUGGAGGCGAACCCCCAAUGGUUACCUCCACAGAGGCUUUGCGAAGGGCGCUCACUGACUUAGGUGAAGAGCGAAGGCUCAAGACUGUGCCGCUUUAUAGUGGCCCCUUGACGUCCAGAAGUUCCCCCCAGCGCCGGUCAUAAGCACUCCCGCCGCCUGGGCCCCGCCCUGCCUGCCAGGCGCCCUCCAGCCUCAGCUCCCGGACGCCCGGCGUGGCCGCUUUCUCGCGUCUUGCUGACCCGGGCCGGGGGCGUGUGCUCCUCCUGCAGCGGACGGAAGAUGCUGGGCCACGCAAGUUUCCCUGGGCUUGGUUAACCACCCCAAAGCCCAUUUCCAGAAGGAAAGGGUGUUGAGGAGGAGGGAUAGAAAGUCGAGAAGAGGGCCGGGGUCUUGCUCUGUUGCUCAGGCUGGAGUGAAGUAGAGCAUUCACAGCCCACUGCAACCUUGAACACCUGGGCUCAAGCAAUCCUCCUGCCUCAGCCUCCUGAGUAGCUGGGACCACAGAUGUGUACCACCAUGCCCAGCUACAUGUCUUUCUUUUGGGGGGACAGCAGAAACCUGGGCAGAGGAGGAAUCCUGAUACCCAGUUCUGAAACAAAGUGGCAGAAUUUGUAAUACAG
rnacentral:lncRNA from 10 species